CAGCCGCCCCAGGAAACUGAUACACCAUCCUGACCACACUACCUUUUAAUUAGUAUUUUGGUCCCUACGACAUUGAAGGAACUGGAAAGGGAUUUCUUUAAUUAGCCUCGAGCUGGCUCAUCUUUGCUUCUACUUCAGCACCUGGCCGAGAGCCCAACGCAAAGACCGCCUCUGAGAUGCUUAAUUCCUCAACUGAAUUCAUACAAAACAAAAACGGACUUCCCGAAAAAGGAUGGGUCUCCUGCAGAAAUCAAGAGAUAUAGGGGAGUUACCUUAUAUACAAACGACAACUUUGUUGAAGGAGCUAAAGCUCGCGGUGAGUCUGGCUCAGAAUCAAGAAUCGACUUCCCAGAGUCCUGCCUUGAAAACACAAAUCCUGUGGGUCUCUAAGUCUGCUUAAGGAGAUCAACAACCCUGUGUGUCCGAACGGUGUGUCCAGGAUCCG
rnacentral:lncRNA from 1 species